rnacentral:rRNA from 1 species
GACGAACGCUGGCGGCGUGCUUAACACAUGCAAGUCGAACGAAGAGCGAUGGAAGCUUGCUUCUAUCAAUCUUAGUGGCGAACGGGUGAGUAACGCGUAAUCAACCUGCCCUUCAGAGGGGGACAACAGUUGGAAACGACUGCUAAUACCGCAUACGAUCUAAUCUUGGCAUCGAGGAUAGAUGAAAGGUGGCCUCUACAUGUAAGCUAUCACUGAAGGAGGGGAUUGCGUCUGAUUAGCUAGUUGGAGGGGUAACGGCCCACCAAGGCGAUGAUCAGUAGCCGGUCUGAGAGGAUGAACGGCCACAUUGGGACUGAGACACGGCCCAGACUCCUACGGGAGGCAGCAGUGGGGAAUCUUCCGCAAUGGACGAAAGUCUGACGGAGCAACGCCGCGUGAGUGAUGACGGCCUUCGGGUUGUAAAGCUCUGUUAAUCGGGACGAAAGGCCUUCUUG